GUAUUCCAUACGGAAUACAUAUACUAAAAUUGGAACGAUACAGAGAAGAUUAGCAUGGCCCCUGCGCAAGGACGACACGCAAAAUCGUGAAGCGUUCCACAUUUUU
rnacentral:snRNA from 1 species